rnacentral:sRNA from 1 species
GAUUACUUCAACUAGAGUCUUUUACCUUUUCUCAUCAAUGAAUCAACCCCUUUUUUUCUUUUAAACACAUCCCAACUCAAAGUAUAAGCGUCCACCUAGUCCUAUCUAGUCCGAAAAUGCGAACUAGAACUACAUGAGACACUAUCUCUAUCGUUACGAACCUAACACUUUCUACCAAGCUUAAUCGGAAUGAGACCUCACAAACACUCACAAGUGAUAUAGGGCUUGAAAGAAAGUCUAGGUUUGGGUUCGGGUUAACUGCUCUAAUAAGGAGAGUCAGAUACUUGGAUUAACAAGAGUGAUCAAAAUGAAUAAGAAAAUCCAAGUAUUUUAGGGUAUCCAUUAGUUCAUAUUUGAUGCAGACAUGAUAAUUAAAGAUCAGAUUCAGGUUCAAAUUGAUAGGGAAUGGUAUCAGAUCAUGGAAGUGUGGUCGAGUAGAGCAAUCUAGGCAUGGUUCAGUUUUACUUCAAUUUCAUUGACUACGCAACAGACAACUAGCAACGAGGGCACUGAGUUUAUCUGGUGAACCAAAAUGCUUACAAGGCUAUAUCA